GGAGAAGACAAAGCACUUCAUGUUUUAUAAUAGUUGGGCUGAUAUCAUAGUUUCACCAAACUGUGCUUUCAGACAAAAUUAUAGCCUUCCCUCCCAAGUGACCUAACCUGUAACUAUUUAGGGUAGAUAUAAUGGGGCAAACUGUCAACUACAAAUCAAGAGAUGCACUGGCUUCAAUGGAGAUUUUGCAAUUGGCUUCCAAAGACUUGUAAAGCGAUGCUCUAGCCCCGUAUUUUCAGUAAAGGAGUAAGUACUACUGAAAGAAAACUAAUCAGGCUGGAAAAAUCACCAAAUAAAACGUUAAAAACUGGCAAAAAUGAAAAAAAAAAAAAAAGAGAAAAAAAAGGAAAAAAAAAGCCUUCAGGUUGCAAGCUGCAAAGGAGCUAGCAUUUUAAUAAAGACAAUAAUCACAAAUAUUACUGAACAAAGGAAAAGGAAACUGAAACAUGCCAAGAAAGAUAAUCAAGAAAUGUGCUUAUAGGAUGCCAGUCCAACUGAUUAAAGAUCUUCAGAAAGCAGGAUAUCCCACCUAGAGCCGUUAAGUCUUAUCUGGAUCCUUACACACCCACACCCCUGUCAACAGCAGAUCUGAGGAUGGAGAAGAGGAGCCCAUCCUUCUUCCUUAUUACUUCUGCCCCUCCUUUUGUCUGUGCCCAGUGUAGCUGCUUCUCACAGCCUGUCAGAUGUUCGUUACACAACCUUUGCUUAGGUUAAAGCAAGACGGAAGCUGCACCCAGUAAUUUUUUCCCCCAUGGAAAAGGAAGCGAGGGAAGAGAUGCCAGGCCGGGUGUGUUUUCGGAAGCGGCAGGUCCCUAAAGUGGGUGAGGUGUACAAAUGAUCCUACACGACUUGGGAACACCGUGCAGCAGGAUAGGAAUAGCAAAGGAGUUACUGUGCAGCAUCAGAGCUCAGAGCCAAGUGCCCGACAGUCCCAUGUGCUAAGCACCAGCAUCCCUUUGCAGAACACCACAGAUCCACCAGCAUCACAUGCCACCUUUAGAAACCGUGACACAGCAAAGCACUGGGCGCUUCACUGGUGGCCUCAAAUACUCCAAAAAUUAACAUUCAAAUAACUUUUGCCAACAGCAGCGCCACAAAUCUAUUGGAGCGGCACAACUUCCGAGAUGAAAGCAAAAGUACGUGUUUGGAGAGCCAAGCCGAUGCAACGUAAAUACUGGGUACAUGCUGUUACAUGUCAUUUUGCAGCGCAACAUGUGAAGGGCACAUGAAUCAUUAGUGAGAGAACAACCCUGGCACCUACCCCAGAAAUACCUCAGUCAGCACUCAGCAGGAAAGAAAAGAUCAGAAAAAGAGAACCCAGAAUCCUAAACGGAGGCUCAGCUCCUGCAGAAAGAUACACUUAACAGUGUUCAUCUCUUUGGAAAAUAGAGGCACUGUAUCCAAGAUACAGCAGCACUAACAUUUUCCACAUGGCUUGGGAUGGAUUGGUGAGUGGCCUUCUCCUAAACAACAGCAUCUCUAUGUGUCA
rnacentral:lncRNA from 13 species